UACUAUUAAUACUGCAACUACUACUAAUACUACUACUACUAUUAAUGCGACUACUACUGCCACUACUAUUAAUACUACUACUAUUAAUACUGCUACUACUACUAUUAUUCCACUAAUAAUACUUCAUAGUGUACCACAAUGACAUGAUCACCCUGUCUCGUCCUGUGAUGCCAGUUGGUAACACUUGAAUUCGUCUUCCAAUGGCAGACUCAUACAUCGUUCUGGAUAAAGGCGGCGCUCCGCUGAAUGAGUAGGCCGAAUGUAGACGCGAACAUAAAUGAUGCUCCUAACAUCAGGUCAGGAAGUCAUUUUAGAAAAUGCCUGUGACUAUCGGAGGUGAUUUUACACGCAAGCGCGGACGAGAUGACAGGAACGCAGUUCUGACUCUUCAGAGAGAGGUGAACAUGGUGUUUUUUGGGGGAUUUUUUUUUUUUUUUGCAAGGUGUAACUUGAGCGCACAGUGGAAUUUUCCAUCCGAUCAGUCUUAUGAGUAACACUUGAAGGGGCGUACACAAGCAAAAGCACCGUAUUGUUUCCUCUUUGGUCACCAGCCACUACCCACACCGCACAGUGUCGUGUCGCCACGCGUUGCCGUCCGCACGGGAACAUCACUCCGGAGCGCCGAGGCCGAGCAUCACAUGCCGCCCCCUGUAACCGAUGUGUGGAUAGACGUCCGGAGGAGACACGCCACGUCCGAGAAACGCACUGUGAUGCCAACAGGAUCAUCCAGGAGACAUUUUGUUCCUCCUCGAAAGAUAACACUGCUCCGCAACUGAUGGGAAUCGCGUGGUCAGAAACAGAAGUCGACCGCCGGGACAUUUUCGGACUCAGAUGGACCUUUUUCCGCAGUUCUCUCACGCCGAGUGAAUAGUCGAGGAAACGACAUCCCUUCUAAGCGUUUUCAGAGCAACGAAAGUAUCCUGGUAUCAACGGAAGCCGCCGAAUCGGGGCAUCAUUGUCAUCAGUAUCUGGCCGCGGUGGGUAUAGAUAAUGGCUAUAAACGUAGUGGGGUUGGUAGCUGUGGUGGUCUUCUAUGUGCUGAUCUUGGCAAUUGGGGUCUGGGCCUCCAAGAAGUCAAAGAAAGAGGAGAAGAAAUGUGUGGGGACCAAGAGUGAAGUCACAAUGGUCGGAGGACGAAAUAUCAGUCUCCUCGUUGGCAUCUUCACCAUGACAGCUACUUGGGUUGGAGGUGGCUACAUAAUGGGCACUGCUGAGGCUGUGUACUCUCCCUCUCAAGGUCUCAUCUGGGCCACAGGGCCCCUUGCCUAUGUCAUCACCUUCUUCCUCGGUGGCAUGUUUUUUGCCAAGCCAAUGAGAUCUAAACGCUAUGUUACCAUGAUGGACCCAUUUCAGCAUCGCUAUGGCAACUCAUUCACCACAUUUCUUUUACUCCCUGCCGUGAUCAGUGACGUUCUCUGGGUUGCCUGCAUCCUCGCAGCUUUAGGUGGGACAAUUAGUCUGAUCCUGGACCUGUCCUCAACCUACGCCAUCAUCCUGUCUGCAGCUGUGGCCAUCACCUACACAUUGCUGGGAGGGCUCUACUCUGUGGCCUACACUGAUGUCAUCCAACUCUUCUUCAUCUUCAUCAGCCUGUGGAUCUGUGUCCCCUUCCUGGUUCUCAGCCCAGCAAUCUCUGAAAUCAAAUUUCCAGCCCUACUCAACCAGUCACAGCAAGUACACUGGAUGGGUGAGCUGAAGCUGGAGGAUGCUGGGAAAUGGAUAGAUGAGCUUCUUUUAUUGGCCCUUGGGGGGCUGUCUUACCAGGCACUGUAUCAGCGGAUCCUAUCCGCCUCAUCCUCUCUUCAGGCUCAGAUCACCUGCUUUUCUGCAGCUGUUCUGGUCUUCAUCCUUGGAGUGCCUUCAGUAAUCAUAGGAGCAGUGGCUGCCUCUGCAGACUGGAACCAGACGGCGUACGGGUAUCCACCUCCAUUUGAGCGUGGGGAGGCAGGGAAAGUGCUGCCGCUGGCCCUGCAGUACCUCACCCCAACUUGGGUGUCAGUGUUGGGCAUCGGGGCAGUGGCUGCAGCCGUCAUGUCCUCCAUGGAUUCCGUCCUACUCUCCUCCGCAUCUAUGAUUGCUCGCAACAUCUACAAGAGCACCCUCAGGAAGCAGGCAUCAGACAAGGAAUGUCUGUGGGUGAUCCGUCUGACAGUGUUGCUGGUGGGCUUGGGCGGCAUGGGUCUGGCCUUCGUUGGCGACAGCGUUUUUUCUCUCUGGCUGGUUGGUGGAGACCUGAUCUACUGCAUCAUAUUCCCCCAGCUCAUCUGUGUCUUGCAUUGUCCCUGCGCCAAUGGAUAUGGUGCAGCCACUGGCUACUUUUUCGGCACUUUGCUCAGGAUCCUGAGUGGGGAGCCCCUACUCGGUCUGACACCUGUCUUGCUGUUCCCUGGAUGGCGAAAGGAUGAGGUGACAGGGGUGGUCCUUCAGUACUUCCCCUUUAGGACUCUGGCUAUGCUUGUGUCCCUUCUCUCUAUUCCCUUAGCCUCAUAUCUGGCCCAACUGAUUUUCACCCAUCACCUGCUUCCCCACACCUGGGACAUCCUGGGUGUUGUUAAGGAGGAGAGAGAGACUGCAGAGAUGAGGGAUGAAAAUGUGGAAGAGAAACUACCAACAGCUAGCGACAAACUGCUUGCAACCACCAGCACCAUCUGUUAGGGAGAUGACUUUAGAUCAAGUUUAUUCUGGGGAUUGGAAUAAUUCCAGUUCAAGUGUUCAAGUGUAGUUUUUUUUUUUUUUUUGGCUUUGCUUUGUGUUUCUCCUCUGCUUCUGUUUUUCUGUAGUUACUGUUAUCUCUGGGACUAUGCUACAGCAUCGAGUAGAUUUUGUUAAUUGAGCAGUUUUAUUCAGUUCAGACGAGGGUCCGUAAAACAUUUCUGGACACAUUAGCUGGCUAUUGGAUGUACAUGUGAGAGAGAGUAAAGUAUCGAAAAAGGUACCGCUGGGUACUGCUACUGAAUUCCAGCUACCGGUACUGGUUCAAAUGUGAAUGGUACCCAACCCAACUCAUGUGUGUUUCACCUUUUCUUUGUGAUACAGAGAAUAGGUCGAAGAGACAGAAGAGGCAAAACUGGUAUUUAAAGCUCAAUUUCAACCAAUUUCUGAACUUAUUUUACAGCUUAGAAAUCCAACAGAGAACAUCAUGCAUACUUAAGAUAUCCGUUUAGUCUAGUCUCAUAUGGAAUCUGAAUUCUACCAAGAGAUGAUAGAGGGUGAAGCGUCACAUUUUCCAAAAUGUUUUGGCCAAAUUUGGGUGCUUGAACUUGAUUGGUCUGUCUUGUGUUUGAUAAACAAACAAUUAGGAAGUCAAGGCCAAAACCACUUUUUGUCAUUAUCUGGAAAAACGGAAACAGCCUUUGAAAAAAAUGUGUGUUAGACUUCAUUUUUGUUCUUCCAAGUUUCAGUCUCUAAGACCCCCCCCCCCAUUUGCACCGGUUUUUAAAAUACAUUCGGUAUCAUCACAUGCAAUCUGAAUGAUUAGCUUUCCCAUCGGGCCCUUUGAAGUCACACGCGGUGUCGGCCCUCUUGACAAUUUCACAUUGAAAUCAUUAGCCUAAACAAACAAAGAUGACAAAACUGAACAAAAAUGGAAAAUGGCUGAAAUCAACCAUAAAACCCUCUGAACAAAGUAUACUCAUGUUUACAUGUGCAACAUAAUCGAUUAAGGUCCUUAUUUUUAAGACAAUAGUCAGAUUAAGCUGUUUACAUUCAAAAAAUAAAAUCCUAUUCCAUUUCACAUGCAAUAGAGCAAAGUCUGAAUAAGCAAUAAUUCCCCCUUCCACAGCACGAGCCCUUUUCGCGCAAGUUUCCCUCUGAUGACGCUUGCUGCCAUCUGAGUGACAGCUGCAGGUGCGUCUGCAUUCAUUUAGUGUUUGUGAAGUUAUCGUAUAAACAGCGAAAUAAGUGAAACUGUCUUCAUGCAUUGUAUUUUGACCGAAAUUGAUAUGGUUCCAACACUAACCCUGGCCUUGGUUUUAAAAACAGAAAAAGUCACAUGUAAGGAAGGACAUGUUAAGGGUAUGCUUUUGAUGAAGCAUUUAACAUUAAUCAUAGAAGGUUGUUUGUUUGUUUUUUUUUGUUUUUUUGUUGUUUUUUUACGCAACUGAUGACAAUGGCUUACUUGAAUUAUUCUCUUAUUUAGAAUAAGGACCUUAAUAUGGUUUAUGGUGCAUGUAAAUGUAGUCAUUUAGUGCCAGUUUAAAAGGUUUAUAUGUGGUUUAUGAAAUUUGGGACAUGGUGGCAAUUCUUUUUUUUCCCGGUAGUUGUCAAAUUGUGUCCAAAAGGAGCAUGAGUUAAACCAAACAAUGUAACUGAAUACAGUGGAAUCAAGAUCAUUUGAAUAAGGACAAGAGAUCUGCUGUCCGCAUGCAAAACCAUCCGUCCUGUUCACAGUGCAGUGGAUCAUUGCUGGUUCUACCUGUUUCACUGUUCGUGUCACCAUCUGAAGCUAAGGGGACAAAUGAUGGUUGUUGUUUUUUUUUUAAAUCAAAACUCAAAAGGGGCUAUGUGUAAGAUUUCACCCCUCUUAAAGCACAAUAUGAACAGUAAAUAUCAGUAAGGGUUUCUGCAUGGUAAUGAUUAAAACAAACAACUCAUGUCCAACACACACAUACACACACUUGAGAUUUCUGCAUUCAAAAAGCACAGGAGCCGGUCCUGCUGAGUAUUUGGUAUUAUUUGAAGUUCUUACCCCUCGUAGACUUGGCUGAUGCUCAUAGCCCUGAAUCUAUGAAGCAACACUAGCAAACUAAUGUCUACUGGAAGUGUUCAAAAAUGAUAAAUGUUGGCAAAUAUGGCAAGAUAUCUGCAAUAUGUCUCGUUUAUUUUGAUUUGUUGCUGGUCAAUUCGCUGAACAGUAGAUAUCAGGAUGAAAUUACACAUAGCCUCUUCAAGAAAGCGUGGGGGAUUUAGGACAGAUUGGAAGGGAGUUGGCAUUGCAGACGACGAGUCAUCAUUUAGGUGAAUAUGCCGUCUAUCCUCCUGCAGCUGCACUCAAACACUGGACCGAUUUUUGAAAUUUUGGUGACAUUUUAACAUGCAAAAUAUUUGGUAAAUUGUUUUAUUGUACUGCUUUGUUCAACUGAUGUAUGAAAUUAUUCAGUCAGUUCAAAAGCUGCUAAGAAAUUGCCUUUAAAUUAUAUUUUUAAAUCAUAUUUUCAAAGCUUUAAACAAAACUACGCAAGAAAUAGACAAGUUGAGUAAAUAUGAGAUGAUGCCAUUUAGGGGACCGUCGCUAUCCCUAUCUGUCAAGACGCUGAUUUAUUUUUUAUCUGACAAAUAAAUGGAUGGUGUUGAUAGUCUAAAUGUGCAAGGUUAAUGAAUUUGAAUAAAGAUGCUUUCUCCUUUGUUUAAGCUCUUUUUCAAUGGAAUUAAUGUUGUUUAAUGUGGAUCAGCAUUAACAGCAAACGGAUGCAAUUUCAUGGGGCUAGAAAUGCUCAUGGGCCAUAUUGAAGCAUUGACCCAAAGACCAGGGUUACACCUAUUGUGAUUUACUGGUUAGAUUACUUGGAGAGCAGGAUGGUGUAGUAGUUAGCAAGGGUGAAACAGUGACAUUUUUCUGACCACAAUAUCUGCAUCACAGUAGGAUAUCUUCUUCUACAUACAACCCUAAGCAAGAUGUGCGCACAAUAAAGGCCCGUUUUUGCCCUUGGAGUUUUUUUUUUCUUAAUAGAUAAAUGUAUAUGAUUAAAACAGAAAUUUCCAGUUUUAAUAUUGUAAUAUCUACGUGUCACCUAUGUUAAUCUGAUUCAUGCUUUAUUUCCCUGUCUGUUCACAUUGCUGUACCACAUGAAGGUGGGCACUUUAAAGUUGUGGAAAAAAAAACCUAAAUAUUUAUUUCAGUUUGAUUUAUUCAAUAUUCUUGUAUCAUCAGAUACCACAAAUGUUGGGACCAGGGAUGCUACUAAGGAAAGAAAGGGGUGGGGAGGUUGAUGGCCAUCUUGGGGAUGCAUCAGGGUUGGGGGUCCAGCCUCUUAUUAGGAAACCCAGAUUCACAGCUGUGGUUGGUGCAGAGUAAUACUAACAGGAAAAUAAGAAUUCUUUCAAGGUGCAAAAAUACAAGAAGGGUUGGCUUGAAGUAAGUUCAUUUAGUAGUACUUAUUAAGAUACUCUUCAGCUGUCAUUUUUCUCAUGCACUCCAUUUGUGAUUUAUCCUUUAAAGAGUACCUGGAUAUUUGAAUAAAAACAAACAAAC